GCCUAAGAAACUUGGAACUAGCACCCAGCUAGCAAACUGACAAAGCCACAAUUAAAUUCAGCUCUAACUCCAUAUUACACAAUUUGUAUAGAAUACAAUGCUGCCUUCCUUUGUUUAACCUUAGUUUAAUGCCUAAUAUUAGCUUAAUUACAUUUAUUAGGGUAGAUUUUUUUUCAGGAUCUACGAGUAGGCUUUAGAAGCUAUUAUCAGGAGGUGCCUGGGUGCCUUAGUCGGUUAAGCGUCCAACUUUGGCUCAGAUCAUGAUCUCACGGUUUGGGGUUCAAGACCCACAUCGGGCUCUGUGCUGACAGCUCAGAGCCUGGAGCCUGUUUCAGAUUCUGCGUUUCCCUCUCUCUUUCUCUGUCUCUCCCCUGCUUACACUCUAUCUCUCUCAAAAAUAAAUAAGCAUUAAAAAAAAUUAAAAUCAGGUGUUUUGGGGGAUAAUAAACUGAAUGAUGGGGCAUAAUAAACUGAAUGACACCAUAUCUACCUUUACAGAGUUUACACUCCAGCAAUGAAAAUAAGACAAUCACCUAAAGGAUUCCAAAACAACACAAAAUUACAUAAAUUGCCAUAUAUGAAAUACAAAAUUUUAUAGAGGCUCAGAAAAAAAAAGUCCUCUUUGGGGGUGGGAGGUAGAGGGAUUAGAAGAUGCUUUAUAGAAGAGGUAACUUUUCAACUGAACUUAAAGAGAUAGAUAGGGUUUUAAAGGACAGUUUUAUUUGAGCUACUGAACAGCCUCAGUCAUGCUGUAGCCCCAGGGCCUAGCACACUGGGGCAGUUUAAUGAAUGUGGCACUGUCUCUUAGACACA